rnacentral:rRNA from 1 species
UAUUCAACUUAGGACAAUCUCCAAUGGUCAUCUCUUCCAAACAAGGAAAACCAUGGAGCCUGUCAAGCGGCAAGGACGUCAACUCUGGACAGGAUACAAUACAAAUCUUCUUCACAACAGGGAGAUAAGAUGGUGUGAGGGAUUCAUCAAGAGUCAAUAAUCCUACACAAUUCCCAAUAGUUAGUCUAGCAAGGGAUGAUAAUGCUCCAAUACCGCUGCUGCUGCUGCUUGCUUCAGGGACUAGGAUAGAUAGUGGUUCUAGGAAUGAUAUCUUCUGAAUGUUCAAGCAAAAACGGAACUUAAGUGAACGUAACCUUGGCAAGAGAUUAGACUGGAGCCAGCUAGGACAAGAUCCACCUACAUAUGAUCUAGACUUUGUUCUCUUCCUGACAACUUGGAAAUAGUUCACUAGAUCCGAAAUCGUGCUGCAUAUACUUCCAGAGGCAUCACAUCAUUUAAAUUGAUGAUGACCAUCAAAAUCAUGUAGAGUUUCCAGAGAAUUCUCAACUAUGUAUUCGGCAUGAAUGGUUGUUAGCACCAUGGUAUAUAUGGCCAUUAUUUCAGCUGAUGCACUAUUUCAUGGCUUCGGCAUAAAUUAUAUGGGUGCAACCCUUUAUUAUUCAUUACGUAGGAUGAAAAUCGUUUUCUUUUCAAUUGCUUAUAUGUAUGUAUCUUCCUUGUAACUUGUAAGUGCGAAAAAAA